rnacentral:rRNA from 1 species
AGAACGAACGCUGGCGGCAUGCCUAAUACAUGCAAGUCGAACGAAGGCUUCGGCCUUAGUGGCGCACGGGUGCGUAACGCGUGGGAAUCUGCCCCUUGGUUCGGAAUAACAGUUGGAAACGACUGCUAAUACCGGAUGAUGACGAAAGUCCAAAGAUUUAUCGCCAAGGGAUGAGCCCGCGUAGGAUUAGCUAGUUGGUGAGGUAAAGGCUCACCAAGGCGACGAUCCUUAGCUGGCCUGAGAGGAUGAUCAGCCACACUGGGACUGAGACACGGCCCAGACUCCUACGGGAGGCAGCAGUAGGGAAUAUGGACAAUGGGCGAAAGCCUGAUCCAGCAGUGCCGCGUGAGUGAUGAAGGCCUUAGGUUGUAAAGCUCUUUUACCGAGAUGAUAAUGACAGUAUCGGAGAAUAAGCCCCGCUAACUCCGUGCUAGCAGCCGC